rnacentral:tRNA from 1 species
UGGAAAAUAGUUUAAUGGUUAGAAUAUUGGUUUGUCGAAUCAAGGGUUGCAGGUUCAAAUCCUGUUUUUCCAG